GCUUCGCGCCUGGGGAGUACGGGGGGUCUCCCAACCGCUCUCUUGCUCACUCACUCAUUCAUUCAGUCGUUACGCAUGGACUGUUUCCUUCGUACCUAUCCCUUCCCGCUCCCUCUGCACGACCAGCGACCCUGCAGCACUCUGUAACGAGGUUGCCAGAGGAUGCAGCUCUAGGCAAGGUCCCCGACCCCUGCCGGUUCCAAACGCUCCGCGAUUCUUCCCAGAGAGAGGUGCGCCUUUCCUCCUGUGCUCUCUCCGCCUCGUCCUCCAGGUCAGUUUUGGAGGAAGCGACACCUCGGCAGUACUGACGUCAAACAGGCCAACGUGGGCGUAGCUCUCCGUUUGUUCAGGCCUUCUCUAACCCCCUCACUAACGGCGUGGAGUUUUUGCUGUAGAGGACACGCACGCCUUUGGUUAAAGGAGGCGGUAUGGCCAAAGCUCUUGGAACUGAAUCGUCCCCACCACUUCGUAACUCAGGGGCCCCCUCAAAUAGGCUUCACGCUCUCUCCAGGUACUGGACUGCAGGAAGAGGACUGACCGCAGUGACUCUCCCGGGAAGGCUGCCUGCACUGUCACACCUCGGCAGUGGUUCUCACAGACCGUCAGCAGCUGGACACAGGAUGGCCAAAUGUCGCCUUCACGAGCAUACUGCCCUAUGACAAAAACCUAAACAAGGAAAAAGAAAUGUGCCAACUCUACUGAAGGGAGAAAGCUUAAAUUAAUGGAGACUAAAUUAGUUAAUUAAUUAAAUCAAAGUCCUGAAUGGGAAGAUUACAGAAAGGUUCAACUGACUCCCAAAUUAAAGCAAAGUCAAUUAAAAUCCUAAUAGGUCUUUGUAGACAAAUAGAAAAACUAUUCUAACAUGUGUCUUGAGAAGCAAAUACAUCACCAUGGCCAAAGACUUUAAAGGAAAAGAGUGAUUAUGACUAACGAUUUCAACAUAAUAGAAAUAACAGUGCUAGAAGAGAACACUGGUGAAUUUAUAAAGAUUAAAGUGGGGAUUUUCUAAGUGUAUAGGGAGGAAAUUUGAUAUAUAAGUAUAUAAAGGUUUUGGUUCAGGUGCAUGUGCUUGUGAGAGAGAGGGGAUGAGAAAUCACUCCCAAGGGGAUGGUCAUGCUGCAAUCCCUUCUCCACUCUCUUCUCG